GUCACCGCCAAAAUCAAUAUGUGUGGCUUUAACAUGUAAUAUUUGUACACCAGGGUGAUAGUGAACAGGACACAUUUAAUUGUUACUGCUAUGAUGUCAUCAGCAGGCAAGUCAUCGAUUGUGACAUCGCCAUAACUGACUAUUGACUGCAACCACCAUCAUGUCUCCACAUCCUGAGGUGAAGCACUUUAGGUGGAAGUGUUUGUUCUGCACCCGCAGCACCUCGCCCUUACAUGGCUGCCCGCACUUAAAGCACUGGAUCAGGGGCUUCUCUGUGGAGCGAUGGUGUGUCUCCUGCGCAUGGGCCACUGCAAAAAAAAAGACACAUUAGUAUUGCCGAUGAGCUCCCAACGAUGACGAUGACUCACCCUGGUUGCUCGAUGUGACAGUCUGCAGUUACAUCACUGAACUUGUUAUUGGUCCGAGCACAAAUACUCCAAACACACACAUGCACCGAAAGGUGAAAAGUAAGACCAACUGCUGUGAGACUGUUGCAGGAAAACAAUUAGCAAGUCAGCACAAGUCAGGCCCCCUGAAAAGACGGUCUACACAAACACCAGUCAAAACAUAGAAUGUACUGAGGCGACUUAAAGGUUCCAGGUUCGAUUCCCGCUUGGUGUCCUUGGGCAAGACACUUUACCCACCUGCUCCCAGUGCCACCCUCCCUGGUUUAAAUGUACCUUAAAAAGGUGUAGAUAAUGGGUUUCACUAUCUA